rnacentral:rRNA from 1 species
AAAUUGCAGUUGAUACUGGCGUUCUUGAGUGCAGUUGAGGUGUGCGGAAUUCGUGGUGUAGUGGUGAAAUGCUUAGAUAUCACGAAGAACUCCGAUUGCGAAGGCAGCUUGCUGGACCGUAACUGACGUUGAUGUUCGAAAGUGCGGGUAUCAAACAGGAUUAGAUACCCUGGUAGUCCGCACAGUAAACGAUGAAUACUCGCUGUUGGCGAUAUACUGCCAGCGGCCAAGCGAAAGCGUUAAGUAUUCCACCUGGGGAGUACGCCGGCAACGGUGAAACUCAAAGGAAUUGACGGGGGCCCGCACAAGCGGAGGAACAUGUGGUUUAAUUCGAUGAUACGCGAGGAACCUUACCCGGGCUUGAACUGCAGCGGAAUGAUUUGGAAACAGAUCAGCGAGCAAUCGCCGCUGUGGAGGUGCUGCAUGGUUGUCGUCAGCUCGUGCCGUGAGGUGUCGGCUUAAGUGCCAUAACGAGCGCAACCCUUACCGAUAGUUGCCAUCAGGUAACGCUGGGGACUCUAUCGGGACUGCCGUCGUAAGAUGUGAGGAAGGUGGGGAUGACGUCAAAUCAGCACGGCCCUUACGUCCGGGGCUACACACGUGUUACAAUGGGGGGUACAGAGGGCAGCUACCAGGCGACUGGAUGCGAAUCCCGAAAACUCUUCUCAGUUCGGACUGGAGUCUGCAACCCGACUCCACGAAGCUGGAUUCGCUAGUAAUCGCGCAUCAGCCAUGGCGCGGUGAAUACGUUCCCGGGCCUUGUACACACCGCCCGUCAAGCCAUGAAAGCCGGNNNNNNCUGAAGUCCGUAACCGCAAGGGGCGGCCUAGGGUAAAACUGGUGAUUGGGGAUAGGUCGUAACAAGGUAACCA